rnacentral:lncRNA from 1 species
UAAAAUGAUGUUUGUAAAAUUUUGUAUUCGGUCUGCCAUUUGCCAGUGAAUUAGGGCUGCAUUUUAGAUUAGAACCAUGAAGUAACUAUGAUGUGCACCGCUUGAAACCAGAGUGAGUCUAAUGAAAGACGGGCAUUUGAUCAUGUUCUAUUUAAUUAUCAUUUCGUUCGUUUCGUCGUUCCAUCCCUCCCUGAACUGACCUUACCCACAACUCUUACCUUUUCAUUUCAUUUUAUCAAGGAAAGACUGUGGGGUUUGUGUAUCCUUAUCCAGGACAUUGUGAAGGCUUCUGAUGCAGUUUACAAGAAGCAAUUGGUGAGCUAAUUCAGAGGUUAGGCAACGCUUGUCAUGAUUUUUUAUUUCUGAAGCCACAUUAGCAAGCAUCAUAAAUAUAACUAAAUGUUUGCUGGCUUCCGUAAUUGCCUACAUCAAUGUAAUCUUCCACACUGAAAACACUCAUUUGAGAUUUGCAAGAAGCCUGCAUACUACUUACUGUUGAUGCAUUAACAUUGCAUCCUUCAGAAUUAGCAAGCAGGGCAUAAUGUUAGGUGUCUGUUUGCGGAAUUGCUGAAAAUAAUUGGUCUAUUUAAUCAAUGAGAAAUAGGAAGAUUCUUGUAAACUGCAGUGUGCUACUUGCUAUACUGGCUAAGCUACAUGACUUACUCUUUAGUGACAUUUCAUAUCGGCAGUGUGCUACUUGCUAUACUGGCUAAGCUUAAUUUUCUUCUUCCUGUGAACAUGUAGAUAAGUGAAAUGAUAAUAAGAAGGUUAAAUAAUGUUGUUCAAUCUUUCCGUCAAGCAACCUGUUUGGCCCCAAAUGUCCGCACCGACGCGGUGACGCCCGUGGGCGCCACCGUUCCUUCCUGAAGGGCAUCGGGUAUUCCCCUUUCCCAUGCCCGUCCGCGUACCGGGGGAAACCCUAGGACUUGUCCGGGCAGUAGCGUCAUUGUUGUCGUGUUCUUUCUUGAAGGUGUUGCUUGGCAUGCGGAGGUUCAAGGUGCUAGGAGCGAGGUGGUAAAUCUCCGGUGGGCGCAGCGGUUGCGGGUCAUCAUCAUUUUCGUCGAUCCGACGCUGUCGACAUUAUUUUCUCUCUUCUUUCUCUUUUUUUUUCGUUUGGGCGUGCUUGUGCUGUUUGCCCCAGCAUUGGACUCUUGGUUGUAUUGGGUUGUUGCUAUAUCUAUAUAGCGGGGCGAAAGCCUAUUUCGUAAGAUUCUUCCAUGAAUUCAAGACUUGGCAAACCACUCCCAUUACAAGGUUCCAUAACACAUGCUGGAUUUGUAUGUCAGGAUAUCUGAAGGGCAAAAACUUAGUACAUUUAUUCUGUUUUUUAAUAAAUCUCCCUCUUGAAAUGAGCUACAACUACUAACGAGUUAUUCUUCUCAUAUCUGUAAGAACACAUUUCUAUAUAUGGCUUCUAUUAGGGCGACUUGAUUGAGCAAAAUGAUUAAAGGAAUGCGAAGAUGGGCCUUCUUGAGUUUUGACCACGCCUAAUAAUACUUGUGAAUUAUGGCUACUCUCCAUGCAGUUUGGUACGGUUAU